AACGUAGGACGCAAGCGUUAUCCGGAAUUAUUGGGCGUAAAGAGCUCGUAGGCGGUUUGUCACGUCUGCUGUGAAAUCCCGAGGCUCAACCUCGGGCCUGCAGUGGGUACGGGCAGACUGGAGUGCGGUAGGGGAGAAUGGAAUUCCUGGUGUAGCGGUGGAAUGCGCAGAUAUCAGGAGGAACACCGAUGGCGAAGGCAGUUCUCUGGGCCGUAACUGACGCUGAGGAGCGAAAGCGUGGGGAGCGAACAGG
rnacentral:rRNA from 1 species